rnacentral:rRNA from 1 species
CCUACGGGUGGCAGCAGUGGGGAAUAUUCCACAAUGGGCGAAAGCCUGAUGCAGCAACGCCGCGUGGGUGAAGAAGGUCUUCGGAUCGUAAAACCCUGUUGUUAGAGAAGAAAAUGCGUGCGAGUGACUGUUCACGUUUCGCCUGUAUCUUACCAGCAGGCGACGGCUAACUAAGUGCCAGCAGCCGCGGUAAUACGUCGGUGGCAAGCGUUAUCCGGAUUUAUUGGGCGUAACGGGACCGCAGGCGUGCUGUUAAGUCUGAUGUGAAAGCAUGCGGCUUAACCGGAGGAGUGCAUUGGAGACUGGGAGACUUGAGUGCAGAAGAGGAGAGCGGAACUCCAGGUGUAGCGGUGAAAUGCGUAGAUAUAAGGAAGAACACCAGUGGCGAAGGCGGCUUUCUGGUCUGUAACUGACGUUGAGGCUCGAAAGCGUGGGUAGCAAACAGGAUUAGAUACCCUAGUAGUC